ACAACCAAUCAGAAUUCAACAGACCUUCUCUGGUUCUAUAAAGUCCCAUUUUUUCCAAGAGACCUUAGGUUUUAACACUUUAAGAGAACAGCAACUUGCCUGAAUCUUCUUUAUUUUACCCUGAGGCUUCUUCUAAGAUGGAUAUUCCUGGAUAUGCCAAGAGGUUCCUGGACAAGAAUGGCAUUCCCAGUCAUGGGUUUAUUUUGGAUGCCGUUGUUGCUUACACUGAAUACUUGCAGGCCAAAGGCAGGCUCCCCCCCAUUUCUACUACCAAGAUGGUCGAUGCGUCUACUCAGACCCCUGUCCGUGUUCCUCCUCGGACCUCUUCCAAGAGCACUCAAUGUCCUGAGUGGUCUUUGUAUGAGGAUUAUUAAAAUAUUCCUGGAUAUGCCAAGAGGUUCCUGGACAAGAAUGGCAUUCCCAGUCAUGGGUUUAUUUUGGAUGCCGUUGUUGCUUACACUGAAUACUUGCAGGACAAAGGCAGGCUCUCCCCCAUUUCUACUACCAAGAUGGUCGAUGCGUCUACUCAGACCCCUGUCCGUGUUCCUCCUCGGACCUAUUCCAAGAGCACUGUCCUGAGUGGUCUUUGUAUGAGGAUUAUUAAAGUAAAUGUUCAUCCUAAA